GCCUACGUGUGACCAAAUCUACCCGGACCGCGCCCGAUUUCAUCAGAGCUUGGAAUCUAAGCAGGAUUUUUGAGCCUGGACAGUGCUCGGAUGGGCGACCACCAUGCAUAAAACGGGUGGUGUAGGCU
rnacentral:rRNA from 1 species